rnacentral:rRNA from 1 species
CAAUCUGCCUUGGAGUGGGGGAAUAACGGCUGGAAACAGCCGCUAAUACCGCAUGAUACAGCUGGGAGGCAUCUCCCUGGCUGUCAAAGAUUUAUCGCUCUGAGAUGAGCUCGCGUCUGAUUAGCUAGUUGGCGGGGUAACGGCCCACCAAGGCGACGAUCAGUAGCCGGACUGAGAGGUUGGCCGGCCACAUUGGGACUGAGACACGGCCCAGACUCCUACGGGAGGCAGCAG